AGCAGCCAGUGGGCCACCACCGCAGUGCUUUCGGUUUGCUGGAAUGCCCUCCCCCACCCCGCACUGGAGAAGUGCACUUUGUUCCCGAGUGGGGGAGGGGCAUCAGGACCAGGCUCUAGGGCGCCCUGGGACUUGGAGGACGGCCAGUUUUCUGUUCCCAGGGUGCCUUCUGGCGGGGGCGAGGGUUGUCUGCAUCCCAGCUGGGCAGCUGGAGGAUACUGGACCCGCUUGGACUCCAGGGCCAGCCUUGCCACCCACUAGCUUCAUGCUCUGCAUCAGGGACCUGAGGAAUGCUGACAAUGAGCACUACCCGGCCUUGCUGAAGAGUCCUCUAUGGAGUUUUUUUUCAGCAGAAAAAGGUGGCUUGUGACAGAUGCGCUGUAAGGCUGAGUGAUGGGCUACACAGAAAACAUCUGGCAUGAAGCCCAUCCCUUCGAGGCACCUAGAUGAACUAUCCUUUCACGUGGACGUCCACGUGGGCUCUUCUGUGCCUGUGGUGUACCGUUGAGGUGGCAAGGACAAACAAGGUGUGACCUCAGCUGUGGAGGUACUUGCAGUCUCCUGGGGAGCCGACUCCUUCAACCAAGGAUAACGAGGAGGCGAGUGCACUGCUAGACCCAGGAACCCGGAGCCCUGAGAACACAGAUGUUAGCUAUGACCAAGGAGGUGAGGAACCCAUUUGCCUAUUGGCACAGGAAGCGGAGGUGGGAAGCAAUUUACUCGUGUCUCAAGGACAGAAAAUAAUCUGUCUACUCAGUCUCUUGCCGUACUGGUGGAGAGGGAUAAUCUCCCCCACACGGCUCCUGGAAGGGAUGGAAUUCCUCUGGCCGGAGCGGUGGGGAGGUGGAAGGGGCACGUUUACAUGUUUACCUGUAUUCCAACUCCAGAGUCCUGUGGAGAACUCGAGGGACAGGGUGCCAAACCAAACACCAGGGGGAAAAAUCUGUGACACAUUCUCUGCCCAGUCUCCCAUAAUUCUGCAAAAACACUUUUUCUGCUAGAGCGAAGGUAACCGAGUCUGGGCCGUGCGAGCUGACUGGUAAUGCCUAGAGUUCGUCGCAAGGUGGCAACAUUGUGGCGAGAAAUAGACAUUAAAAAUCCUGGGUGUUUUUUAAAGCAUAUUUUCUCUAUUAAUGUUUCAUUUAACUUAAUUAGAAUCUGGUAAGCUAAUUAAAGUAGCUACGAGCCCCGCAAUCAGCAAUAAUUCGUAUAAUUAUUGAUAAUUACAUCCAUACCAAUCGUUUGGUUAUUAACAUUUGGGGGGGAGGAACAAGCCAUUUCCAACUGAUGUGGAGCCCAAGAGGGUUUCUGUUUUUGUUUUUUUGUGAUUUGUUUUUAUUUUUUACGCAACGGAACUUUCUAGGCCGGAUCCUCCUACACCUCCAAUCCUCAGAGACUCCGUACCACCCGAGGCUCCCCUUUUGGGCAGACUCAGGUUCCUGUAUACUUUUCUCAGUUUUGAGGAAGUUUGGAGGGAAAGGCGAGAAAGGAAUAUUCACCAGUCUCCUUUGUUGGUGUGUAACCACGGACCUUCUUAGGUGGUAACUGCCCUGCCCAUUUUACAGAAAAGGAUUGUGCGCUUUCCAACUGUGCCUAUAGGCCCUGAGAAACGCCAAGCUACCUGCAAGCCUGCGUGAGCUCUGGGGUUCUGUCCCUGGGGCGCCCUGGGAACGGAAGUCACUUCCUACAUAGAUCUCACUUUCAAGAUGGGUGCAGCCCAGACGUGAAAGGGUUGGUAAGCAUGCCCUCUUCAUCUCUCCCGUAGGUGAACUAUUCCAGGCCCCCGGAGGGUUCCAGAGAGGGGAUAGCAAGGUGGAGCCUCGCAGUUUACCCGGAACCCUCCCCACCCUUAUUUCCAGACCAUCCUCUGCUGAUGUGGCACUGGCCAUAUCCCAGGCUUGAAGGUUCGUUCGCAGCCCCAGCACAGGACUGGCCUCAGCCGAGUGAGGGACUCAGCAUCUGCUUCUUUCCCCACUGCCUGACUGUGUCUAGCUACUAGCAGGCACCCCAAGAGGCCUCCAGUGAAACUCACUGGUGCGAGUAGCUAAGGCUCACGGCCCAAAACACUCCGGAGAACUUCGGGGCCCUCUAAGGUCCUCCAGAGAGUGCUUGGAGCUAGCCUGGGGUGCUAGUCUUGGUGGCGGCCUGCAUAUGGGUUUCCUUCUUGGAGGCUUCCUGGAGCCUCAGGGCAUAGACAAACGAAUGCCAUUUAAUGGAGGUUUGAAAACGAGGCCCUGGAAAAAAUAAAGGACUCAACGCAAGACCUUUGCUAGCCAGAGGCCGGCAUGAAAUCCAUUCUGGGCUGAAAAAUCGAAGGGGACCUGCUUUCUCCAUUCUGUCCUACACACUGCUUGAGGGAGGGGCAUGUUCCCUAUACUUUAUUUUUUGUGUCCCAACCAGCAGGUGCCUUGCAGAAACUGAGGCUAGCAGCCACUAAGUGAGGCUUCACACUCCUGGGCCACACACACACAGCCUAGGGAGGGUCCCAAUCUUUGCAUUUGCGGCCAGCAGGCAGGACUCAUUUUCCUCAUUGGGGUCCUCUAGUUGCAAAGACUAGGAGGGAGAGGUCAUUAAAAUGAGGACAGUGCUCCCUCCUUCCCGGAUAGCAACAGGCCCGUGACAGGGCAACUGUCUCUGCAGCGACCUCAAACUCUCCAAAGUCUCCUCAUUUUUUUUUCCUAUUAUCUGUCCUUCACACCUUACCCCCACCCGGCCAGCGCUCCCGGGUCAGGUCUACACCCGCAUCAGCAAGCAAUUGACCCUGGGAUCCCUUGCUGAAUACUCCCUCAACCCCCCACCCACGCAGGUGAAUUCACACACAGGAGACUAAAGUUAACUUUCCCGCUGUACCAGCAAAGCUUGGGAAAUAAAGGACCACUGACUGCCCAAGGGAUCAGGAGGUGGUUUUCUUCUCUAGCUUAUGCCCAGAGGAGGGUCCUGCCCCAGAGGCCUGUGGGGGGAAAUCGGGUGUGUCUAGGUGGGUCAGUAGAGAGGUCAGGAGCAGCAGCUCUAACCCGGACCGUUCAUCUGCACUUGUACCUAAGGAGCCUCCCCUACCCCCCCCCCCAACACCUGGGCACACUAGCAACUCCUCAGCCCCAAAGAGUGACAGAUUUUUUUCUUUUUAUUAAAAACAAAAGUCACGGAUACAGGUCUCCCCAAAUAGGUUCAAGAUGGUCACCUUCUCGUGAGUCAGUUGUCGCCCUUUUAAAGUGCUGUUAUGUUACACAACAACAAAAAACACAAAGCAAAAUCCAAAGAGGAAUGAAUGCAAAAUGAGGACUGAAAGGGGGUCCGGGGAAAGUAAAAUAACUUACAGCAUAAAUAAAGUGAACCUAAUACUGAA